UCUCACCAGGCACGCAGCUUUAGC
rnacentral:misc_RNA from 1 species